rnacentral:rRNA from 1 species
CAAUAGCGUAUAUUAAAGUUGCUGCGUUUAAAAAGCUCGUAGUUGGAUCUCUGAUGAGGAACGGCCGGUGUGGGCCACAGUGCCUUCCACUGCCGUCGCGCCUCCGUCCGUGCUUGUUCGGUCGCGGCCGUUAGCUCGGUUGUGGUCGGGCGGGUUACGGCGGUGGAGCGAGACGCUUCCCAUCAAAACCACCCGUCUCCUCCGCGCGUGCCCUUGACUGGGUUGCGCGCGUCGGUCGGGGCAGUUACUUUGAGAAAACAGGAGUGCUCAAAGCAGGCAAUUCUCGUUGGCCAUUGAACGAGUUGUGCAUGGAAUAACGGAAUAGGACCUCGGUUCUGUUGUGUUGGUUUACAGUUUGCUGAGGUAAUGAUUAAAAGGAACAGACGGGGGCAUUCGUAUUGCAGCGUGAGAGGUGAAAUUCUUGGAUCGCCGCAAGACGCUCUACUGCGAAAGCAUUUGCCAAGCA